rnacentral:lncRNA from 10 species
GCGAGACUCCGUGGGCGUAGGACCCUCCGAGCCACAUGCAGGAUAUAAUCUCCCGGUGUGCCGUUUUUUAAGCCCGUUGGAAAAGCGCAGUAUUAGGGUGGGAGUGACCCGAUUUUCCAGGUGCCGUCUGUCGCCCCUUUCUUUGACUCGGAAAGGGAACUCCCUGACCCCUUGCGCUUCCCGAGUGAGGCAAUGCCUCGCCCUGCUUCAGCUCGUGCACGGUGCGCUGCACCCACUGUCCUGCGCCCCCUGUCUGGCACUCCCUAGUGAGAUGAACCCUCAGAUGGAAAUGCAGAAAUCACCCGUCUUCUGCGUCGCUCACGCUGGGAGCUGUAGACCGGAGCUGUUCCUAUUGGGCCAUCUUGGCUCCACCACCCUGAGAUAGGGUCUCACUCUGUCGCCCAGGCUGGAGUGCGGUGGCGCGAUCACGGCUCACUGCAGCCUCCAACUCCUGGACUCAAGCGAUCCUCCCUCCUCGGCAUCCCUGGACUAUAGGCGUGAGCCACCGCUUACGGGCGAAGACUUGCUUGUCCGUGUCCUUGCCAUCUAAGUGGAGAGCCUACGACUAGAUUUGCAUCUUUACGUCCUGCGCGGAGGCUGCUACACACAUGCAGAAGUCAUGCUGGUGGCCUGGACAGUGAAGGGAGAGAAGUGGAUUUGGGAGACAUUUAGGAGGAACAGUAAGAGGACCUUGUGCAUGAAUAAUUUGUUUCCACACUACAGAGUGGGUAAUAAGCAGAUUAGUAAAAACAAUUCUGCUUCACUUCAAUAACAGCCUCCUCCAACUCAUUUUUUCUCAACAAACUUAUUUUUCCAGCAGAAGAAUCCCAGACUUCUUAGAGAACCCAGUGACUUUUUGCACCUUAAAUCUGUGAAAUCCUCAUGUUUUCUUCUGCCGUAUCCAUAGUUCAAACAAAGAUGAGGCAAAGCUAGAUGCAUUCCUGAAGGAACCCAAGAAAUUCCUCUCUUUAUUUCUCUGGAAUGAAAUGAAUUCUCUAGACCACCAGUUCUAACCUUCAAAAACCAAACCUGUUUGUGAGAUCUCCUUCAAAUACUACUGUAGACCCCAGUGUUUAUUCAUUAAAUUUUUAAAAUAUUUGUUUUAUUUGGAA